rnacentral:rRNA from 1 species
UACGUAGGGUGCAAGCGUUAAUCGGAAUUACUGGGCGUAAAGCGUGCGCAGGCGGCUAUAUAAGUCAGAUGUGAAAUCCCUGGGCUUAACCUAGGAACUGCAUUUGAGACUGUAUGGCUAGAGUGUGUCAGAGGGGGGUAGAAUUCCACGUGUAGCAGUGAAAUGCGUAGAGAUGUGGAGGAAUACCGAUGGCGAAGGCAGCCCCCUGGGAUAACACUGACGCUCAUGCACGAAAGCGUGGGGAGCAAACAGG